CACUAUCUUCUUCAGAAUCAUCAGCAAAAGAGUUCUGAACAUCGUCAUCAUCCUUACUUAAUUCUUCAAUUUCUUUAACUUUUCUUUUCUUCACGUAUUUUUUAAUUUUUUGUUCCUUUGAAGAAGGAUUUUUCUUCAACUCUUUUUUUUUUUCAAAAUUUCAGUCAUCUUCUCCGGGUCGUUGCGAAACUUCGACCUAAUCUUCUUCGAUCUCCCAAAUUUCUUCGACUGUAUAGAAUUUGAAACAACUUUAACUACAUCUUCUUAAGUUAACCCAAGACUAAAAGAUGGUCCAUAAUCAGACACCAAAUUAAUAUUUUAUAUACCACUAUUUGUUUGAGAUUUUGAUGUUUGUUCAUCCAUUAAAGCAUAAAAAUCUUAAAAUCUGAUUUUGAGAUGUAUUAUAGUUGAAAAAAAAAAAGAGAAAACGCUAACAUGCAAUACCUGAAUUAAAGAGUUACC
rnacentral:lncRNA from 1 species